GACGAACGCUGGCGGCGUGCUUAACACAUGCAAGUCGAACGGAAAGGCCCUGCUUUUGUGGGGUGCUCGAGUGGCGAACGGGUGAGUAACACGUGAGUAACCUGCCCUUGACUUUGGGAUAACUUCAGGAAACUGGGGCUAAUACCGGAUAGGAGCUCCUGCUGCAUGGUGGGGGUUGGAAAGUUUCGGCGGUUGGGGAUGGACUCGCGGCUUAUCAGCUUGUUGGUGGGGUAGUGGCUUACCAAGGCUUUGACGGGUAGCCGGCCUGAGAGGGUGACCGGCCACAUGGGGACUGAGAUACGGCCCAGACUCCUACGGGAGGCAGCAGUGGGGAAUAUUGCACAAUGGGCGGAAGCCUGAUGCAGCAACGCCGCGUGCGGGAUGACGGCCUUCGGGUUGUAAACCGCUUUCGCCUGUGACGAAGCGUGAGUGACGGGAAUGGGUAAAGAAGCACCGGCGAACUACGU
rnacentral:rRNA from 1 species